rnacentral:rRNA from 1 species
CGAAGGGGGCUAGCGUUGUUCGGAAUCACUGGGCGUAAAGCGCACGCAGGCGGAUUGAUAAGUCAGGGGUGAAAUCCCGGAGCUCAACUUCGGAAUUGCCUUUGAUACUGUCUGUCUUGAGUCCGGGAGAGGUGAGUGGAAUUCCUAGUGUAGAGGUGAAAUUCGUAGAUAUUAGGAAGAACACCAGUGGCGAAGGCGGCUCACUGGCCCGGUACUGACGCUCAUGUGCGAAAGCGUGGGGAGCAAACAGGAUUAGAUACCCUGGUAGUCCACGCCGUAAACGAUGGAUGCUAGCCGUCGGGGAGCUUGCUCUUCGGUGGCGCAGCUAACGUAUUAAGCAUCCCGCCUGGGGAGUACGGUCGCAAGAUUA